rnacentral:rRNA from 1 species
CCUACGGGAGGCAGCAGUGGGGAAUAUUGCGCAAUGGGCGAAAGCCUGACGCAGCCACGCCGCGUGAAGGAUGACUGCCUUCUGGUUGUAAACCUCUUUCAGUAGGGAAGUAGGGUCCAGGUUGUAUACAGCUGUGCAUUUACGUUACCGACAAAGGAAGCACCGGCUAACUCCGUGCCAGCAGCCGCGGUAAUACGGAGGGUGCGAGCGUUAAUCGGAAUUACUGGGCGUAAAGGGCUCGUAGGCGGUUUGUCAAGUCAGAUGUGAAAUCCCCGGGCUCAACCUGGGAAUUGCAUUUGAUACUGGCAACCUAGAGUACGGUAGAGGUAGGUGGAAUUCCAGGUGUAGCGGUGAAAUGCGUAGAGAUCUGGAGGAACACCGAUGGCGAAGGCGACCAGCUGGACUAUAACUGACGCUGAGGUGCGAAAGCGUGGGUAGCAAACAGGAUUAGAUACCCGAGUAGUC